UUUUGCUGUUGACAGUGUGCACUAUGCUUACACAGUACGGGGAAGGACUGUCGUACUUCAUACAUUGUGAAUUUCUAAAUAGUGAUACAAGUGGUAAUGUAUGUAUAUCUUGCAUUUUAAGCAUGCUGAAAGUCAUUAGUUGAAGACACCUUAGGCUUUUGCCUGGGCUUGCUUACUUUCAAAUACUCAUGGUUGUUUCAGCCAACUGCGGAUAUGAUGCUGGUUUACAUGUUAUGGAUUCUUGUAGUGUAACUGUCAGGUUUGUAACUGUCAGGUUGUUUCAUGGUGUGAUGGCAGAACCUGUGCUACAACAGGUGUACGUAUCGGUUCUGCCAUUAAGGUAUUUGCACUCAGCUCAGGCUUUUAUGGUGGCUGACUGUUGUGUUCAUAUUUUGCAUAUGAAGAAAUGUGCACUAGUAUUUUACAUGUGGCAAAGAGGUCGCAGUUUUUAUGCUGCGCUAUUGUGGCCAGAUACUGCUACUACACAAUAGAAAUUGGGAAUCGUUUAAGUUCUCGCCUGGUAUCAUUUUGUUGAGAAACUACAACUGAUCCUGCAAUAAUAUGAAUGGAAGGAAAAUCUUGAUGCACAUGUCUUCCAUUGCGUCCAUUCGAACAAAUGUGUUCCCUUAACACCAAGGAUUUUUGUGUGUAGACUGUUAAAAAAAAUUUUUUUUUUCUUUAGCUUUAUGUGUGACAGGCUGUCUUUACGACCUGAACACAUUAAGGUCACCAUUAUGGGUCUCUUGACUAGCAGCUUGUAUGCAAAAGUUCUGUCAUGUGCACUAGUAUCAGGUGUGUUCAUUUUAUGUCAGCGAGACAUUGAUUCCUGUUCUGUUUUCUAUAGCAGUGACUUCAUAAGUAUGCUUUGGGCUAGGAGUUGCCCCCUUGGAUGUAUGUUUUUUUGGGCAGUUGUCCCUAUGACAGACAGAAUAUAUUGCAGCAAGCAAAAGCUAGGGGGCACUAUUUCACUUCAUUUUUCUGCACAUUCACUUAAGUUGCUAGCAUCACCCAGUUGUAGCUUUGUCUGUUUAGCUGUGCCCACCUGUGAUUUUUUGUUCUCAGUCCACAUAAGUUAUCCUGCUGCAUGUUCACUGCCCAUUAUUGUGGCAGGUUCAGCAUCAGUGGGCAGGUGUGGUUUUUGCUCAAAAAUGACUGUUUCUUUAACUUUCCAAUUUGUGUAAGGGUCCAAUUGGCGCAAAGUCUGUGGUGCACAACCAGACGUGUCAUUUCUUCCUGCAAGGCAAUGCAUCACCAAAGCUUUUUUCCUUGCAUUGUCGUCUGAAUUCCUUGCUUGGAAGUUUUCUGCCACUGCUGAUUGUCUUAAAGAAAGCUUUGCUGAAGGUGUUUUUUUUUAUAUUAAACUUACAAUAAUGGGUUAAAUCAUGUUGCAUGUUUAUAUUCAGAGUUUAAACAUGAUCCUUGUGCAGAACAAGCUAACAUGGAGCAUUUUAAUCACUGCCGACUUAAGCUCUCAAUAUUAAGUAGUAAGGAAGAAUAUGUAUGAUAUACAUAUAGGUGUAGAUGUGAGCUAGCUUUGUGACCUUUAUUGUAACAUCAAGAGAACUUGAUGUAUACUCCAGCAUGUCAGUCUCAAUGUACAGUUUUGCCAGUUUGUGACAGUCCUGUGUGACAGUGUUUGGUUCAUGUAGUCUGUAUUUAGCUGAGCACCUGCAUCAGGCCUUAAAUGAUUAUAUCGCACUGUUGGCAAACGCUGCUAAUAUUUGUGACUCAUUUGCAGGCUUACAGCCUUGGAAGGUGCAUACACUGGUACUGGUGUUCUGCAGAGUUAGCACUCUAGUUGGCAUCUGUAUGAAGUGUGGCUGCAGCAAUGGGGAUUUUUCAGCCACUUGCCCUUUUUCAAGUCGCAUGGGGCUACAGUAGCAAUUGUGUAUUUUAGAUUACAUAUAUAUAUAUAUACAGCACUUUGCAUCAAAUUGCUCUUUAGAAAAAUGAUGGGGAGCUCUGUAGAUGAAGUUGAUCUAUUUGAAUUUUGGGAGCUCUAGUGCCCCCCUUUUUUUCUGAAUCUUUUUUUAUGAUUGCUUGUGUGAAGUUUUUCUGAAUUGUGCAGACUUUGUCCUGCACAUGCAACUGUGCUCAGUGUACAUAAAACACAAUGUGUACUCAUCUUGUUUGUAUGCCUGCUCUAUUUAUUUGUGAAUAGAGUUCUAUAUGGGAAGUUGACAAAGGAUGUCUGCCAUCUGCACUGUCACUAGUCAUGUAGAAUCAUAUAUUACCCACAAAUGCGACUUACGAUUGUCAACAAUAAACAGUGUCCUUUGAAGUUUGAAAUAA
rnacentral:lncRNA from 1 species